GGAAUCUCAACCGCCACCCCCCUCAUCACCCCUCCCCGUUCUCAUGCUUCAACUUCCUCAGAAUAUCCUUGGGGCAAAUAUGAGAUUGUGACAGGAACAGCGGCUGACUGUUCUGUGGAGUCACCAGGAACCAGCCACUUGGAGAAAC